CAAAUUAAAGCUUUAUAAGCAUUUUAUUUACAUUAAAAAGAGAGAUUGAGUAUACAAUUUAAUUUGA
rnacentral:tRNA from 1 species